AUUUGAUGAUGUAGCCAACUUGCGCACAACUUCUUAAAGCGCUCUCAAUAUUCAUAUAAGGUCUCUUUGUUGUAUUGUCGAAUGCCACGUAUCUCUUUCCUUAUACU